UACGUAGGGUGCGAGCGUUGUCCGGAAUUAUUGGGCGUAAAGAGCUUGUAGGCGGUCUGUCGCGUCUGCUGUGAAAAUCCGGGGUUCAACCCCGGACUUGCAGUGGGUACGGGCAGACUAGAGUGUGGUAGGGGAGACUGGAAUUCCUGGUGUAGCGGUGAAAUGCGCAGAUAUCAGGAGGAACACCGAUGGCGAAGGCAGGUCUCUGGGCCACUACUGACGCUGAGAAGCGAAAGCAUGGGGAGCGAACAGG
rnacentral:rRNA from 1 species